rnacentral:piRNA from 1 species
UGGGUUUCCUGCCUCGACGGACAAUGUCA